GAGGAAGGUCCCCAACCCCACUGGUUACGUGAGACACGGACCGACGAACUCCUACGGGAGGCAGCAG
rnacentral:rRNA from 1 species